rnacentral:lncRNA from 1 species
CCAUCAGCAAUUUGCAGUUGCCAUUUGUCACCCCCAAUCUCGAGACCCCUCUUAAUUAGACCCCGUUUCACACGCUCUCGCUCUUUAUGGCUCCUUAAAGUUCUCGCACGCACGCUCCUCUACUCCGUGCGGCCUUUCUCUCGGAGCAACCGUCCGCUCUUCCCUUCUCUGCGUCCUUCUUUUUCAUGGCAAACCCGGAGUGCGGGCACGAAAUAAGAGACGUG